AUACGUAGGUGGCGAGCGUUGCCCGGAAUUACUGGGUGUAAAGGAUGCGUAGGCGGAUGUUCAAGUCAGAUGUGAAAAUCCCGGGCUUAACUUGGGAAUUGCAUUUGAAACUGGAUAUCUGGAGUGCAGGAGAGGUGAGCGGAAUUCCUAGUGUAGCGGUGAAAUGCGUAGAUAUUAGGAAGAACACCGGUGGCGAAGGCGGCUCACUGGACUGUAACUGACGCUGAGGCAUGAAAGCGUGGGUAGCAAACAGGAUUAGAUACCCUGGUAGUCCACGCUGUAAACGAUGAAUAUUAGGCGUGGGAGGUAUCGACUCCUUCCGUGCCGUCGUAAACACAUUAAGUAUUCCACCUGGGGAGUACGGUCGCAAGAUUAAA
rnacentral:rRNA from 1 species